GCAGGAUCUCCGGGGCGAGGGGCGCUCGCGGGUGAGCUCCUCCUCCUUCUCCUCGCGACACGUGCUGGGCCCCGGGACCCUCUGUCCAGGUGGGCGAGGUACAGAUGCCAUGGAAAGGGUGUGAGUGAAGGCCCACAGGGUCUCGGCUGUGGCUUCCUGCCCGGAUGACCGAAGUACGCAGAAGGGAAAGACACGGACAUCUUGUGAUCAUAGGUGAUGGUGGCGUACUGCUGUGCCCCAGCUCCAUGGCCUGGCGGAGCAGACAUGUUCGUGAUGGAGAGACAGCUCAAGUCACCUGGGAACUUGCUGGCCCAUGGUCAAGCAUUCAGGUCGCUUUCAGUGUGGAGGACCAGAGUUCACCUCUGCUGUGUGUUUCUGCUGAUGUGACCUGGAAUAAUUCUUCCUGGGCAAGUCCCUGAUUUAGCAUCCUUGAAUCCUUGCUUUAGGCCUUCUCUCCCAGUCUGGGAAAAACCUAGAAACAUUCUAGUAUUACCUGUUCUAUGUGCCAAAAAGAAGUAAAAUCCUAGAAUGGGUGUAAAAUAAUAAACCUUUAAAAUAAUAUCUAAAAGAGGUGUAGUUUCUUCCAAGAAUGGUGUAUGUCUGAAGAAGGCUUUGGAGGUGUGAAGCAUAAGAGAUAAGCAGGUGACUGGAGAUUAGGAUAACCUGAGAGAACAGUGCUUGGACUCUAGUACACGAGGUAAAUUCAAAGACUAAAGAUGAGAGGAGGGUAGGAAGAUGCCCGCCUAAGUCUUCCCCCAACGGCUCCAUUCACACCACACAUGAGUAUGUAUUAUAUGCACAUACAUAUAACAUGUAGUAUUGUAUAAAUUGUGGUAGACAGAAUAAUUCUCCCCAAAUAUGCCCACGCCCUAAUCCCAAGAACCUGUAUGUCACCUUACAUGGCGAAAGGGACUUUGCAGAUGUGAGGACGGGCACAGGCCUUAAGAUGGGAGAUGAUCCUGGAUUAUCUGGGUGCCCCAUCUAACCACAUGAGUCCUUAAAUGAGAACAGUUCCUGGCUGUGUCCGGACGUGGUGUGAGGACUCACCCCACCACUCACGGCUUUGAAGGUGGACGAAGGGCCCAUGAGACAAGGAAUGUAGCAGUCGCUAGAAGCCGGGAACACCCCUCUGCUUACAGCCAGAAAACGAGGACCUCAGUUUCACAACUGCAAGGAAUUGGUUCUGCCAACAACUCAAAUGAACAGGAAGAGAUUCUCCCUGGACACUCUGGAAAGGGAUGCAGGCAGCUCUGCUGACACCUUGGUUGUAACCAUGUGGGACCCAUGCCAGACUUCUGAUCUGUGAACUUGUAUUGAUUAAACCCACUAAGUCUGUGACAAUCUGUCUCAGCAACAAAAGGAAGCUAAUACAAUAAUGACACUUCUGCAGACAGAAAUGACUAAACCACCAUCUUGGAUGCAUUCACAGCCUCCACACCGGCCUAGCAUAGCCAAACACGAAUCCACCUCUGGAGUCUACCAUCACCCCCAUCACCCCCAUCACCGCCAUCACAACCAAAGGUGACAAGGACGAAGCAAGUCCCUUAGCUGGAAGACUCCAACAAGCACAUGAGGCAGUCGUGUUACUGGGUGGCUAAGAUCUUGGAGCCAGACAAUGGAUGUGGACCUGGGCUCCUUCCCUCAUUAGCUAGCUAGCCACGAACAAGUUACUUUACCUCUCUGUGCCUGGCUUUCCUCAGGUUACCUCUCUGUGCCUCUCCGUUGUCAUUCUUCAAAUUGGGAAUGUUUUAAAGAUAAAAUUAGUAUAAAUUGUGUAGAAUCGUUCCCGAUACAUCUGGUUCUCCGUAAAAAAUAACUAUCAUUGUUUUCAUUAUUAUCACUAACACGAUUAUCAUCCGCACUUUGUCGUUGGCAAAACUAGUGCACACAGUUUAGAUUCGUCCAAGGUCGCAGAGCCAGGAAGUGAGGUCUGUCUCCUCACUAAUCCAGGAAGGUAACAAUUGAACAGGGACCCCGCCUCCAGCGGCCUCACCUGUGCACACCCUCAGGCCCUCCUGGUCUUCUCUGCCCCACCAGCCUU